rnacentral:rRNA from 1 species
UACGUAGGGACCGAGCGUUGUCCGGAAUCAUUGGGCGUAAAGAGCGUGUAGGCGGCCAACUAAGUCCUGCGUGAAAUCUCGGGGCUCAACCCCGAGCGGUCGUGGGAAACUGGUUGGCUAGAGUGCGGGAGAGGAGAGUGGAAUUCCUGGUGUAGCGGUGAAAUGCGCAGAUAUCAGGAAGAACACCCGUGGCGAAGGCGGCUCUCUGGGACGGUACUGACGCUGAGACGCGAAAGCGUGGGGAGCGAACAGG